rnacentral:rRNA from 1 species
GAUGAACGCUGGCGGCGUGCUUAAUACAUGCAAGUCGAACGGAAAGGCCCUGCGUUUGUUGGUUUCUCGAUUGGCGAACGCGUGAGUAUCACAUGAGUAACCUGUCCUUGACUUUGUGGUAACUUCAGGGGACUCCGGCUCUUACCGGAUAUGAUCUCCUGCUGCAUGUGGGUGAUUGGAAAGUUUCGGCGGUUGGGGAUCGUCUCGCUGCUUAUCAGCUUCAUUGUCGGGUAGUGGCUUACCAGGGCUUUGACGGGUAGCCGGCAUGAGAGGGUGGACGGCCACAUUGGGCCUGCGGUACGGACCAGACUGGUACGUGCGGCAGCAGUGGGGAACAUGGCACAAUGGGCGGAAGUGUGAUGCAGAAACGCUGCGUGCGGGAUGCCGGCUUUCGGGUUGUAAACCGAUUUGGAAGGUGACGAAGCGUGCGUGACGGUAAUGGGUAAAGAAGCCACGGCUAACUACGUG